rnacentral:rRNA from 1 species
UACGUAGGGUGCAAGCGUUGUCCGGAAUUAUUGGGCGUAAAGAGCUCGUAGGUGGCCUGUCGCGUCGGCUGUGAAAACUCGGGGCUCAACUCCGAGCUUGCAGUCGAUACGGGCAGGCUAGAGUUCGGCAGGGGAGACUGGAAUUCCUGGUGUAGCGGUGAAAUGCGCAGAUAUCAGGAGGAACACCGGUGGCGAAGGCGGGACUCUGGGCCGAUACUGACGCUGAGGAGCGAAAGCGUGGGGAGCAAACAGGG